rnacentral:rRNA from 1 species
CGGGGGCCCGCACAAGCGGUGGAGUAUGUGGUUAAUUCGACGCAACGCGCAGAACCUUACCCGGUCUUGACAUCCCGGGAAUCUUGUGGAAACACGAGAGUGCCUCGCAAGAGGAGCCUGGAGACAGGUGCUGCAUGGCUGUCGUCAGCUCGUGUCGUGAGAUGUUGGGUUAAGUCCCGCAACGAGCGCAACCCUUGUCAUUAGUUGCCAUCAUUUGGUUGGGCACUCUAGCGAGACUGCCGGUAAUAAACCGGAGGAAGGUGGGAUGACGUCAAAUCAUCAUGCCCCUUAUGACCUGGGCUACACACGUGCUACAAUGGUUGGUACAACGAGUUGCGAGUCGGUGACGGCGAGCUAAUCUCUUAAAGCCAAUCUCAGUUCGGAUUGUAGGCUGCAACUCGCCUACAUGAAGUCGGAAUCGCUAGUAAUCGCGGAUCAGCACGCCGCGGUGAAUACGUUCCCGGGCCUU